AGUGUGCGUGCGUUUGUGAGUGUUUGAGUGUGUGCCUUUGGCCUGAAUGUGUGCACGUGUGUGUGCACGUGUGUCUGUGUACGAAGACGAACAAACACAACAGAGUUAUGUCAGAACGCAUUCCAGGAUCCAAGUGGAAGAUAAACAUUGAGGGCGUGAGGUGACGACCAUACAAUGUAGGCCAGGGUGUGUGUCUUCUCUUACAUCACGCAGUCUACCUGGUAUGAUCUCAACAUUUUAAUUGUGUCCUGUUACAGUGAGAUAUCAUGCAAUAAGGUAAGGAAAAAUCUGUCUUUCUACGGAGGCAUGUACCUGUGAAUCAUACUCCGAUGUCUUCCUCUCUGCUUCAUCCAGUUUACUAACCUGCACACAGUGUCAGGAGAAUGUUACCGACAUGGGAUGUAUUUCAGCAGGUGAAUAAUACGAAGUAAAUACAAGAGAGGCUUUCAUUACAGCCCAAAAGUGGCGGGAGGUCAGAGCAGAGUCGACGACAGAGGAGCUACCAGAGUAACGCUGCUAGGCUAGCUAGGCCGUAGCUUAGCUCCCGCCCCUGCUUGUCCAGCCUCCGACGACUGAAACAGGGGGGUACAACGGAGCUCGAGGAGAAGAGCUGGAGAUUUGGCGAUAGACAAGAGGUGAAGCAGCUGAUGACUUCCUGUAUGAGCUACCUCCACGCAGGCUCCCAGGCCCACAGGAAGCAGCACCAGCAGACUGGUAUCCUCCAGCAGAUGGACGAAGACCAGCAGAGUGCCCAGGCAACGCCACACGACUACAGAGGACACGGUGGGAAGAUAAGGGCGGAAAUCGACACUAACACAAACCUACUAUCUUUAAACGGUGCGCCAAAGGAACUCGACUGUUGACCCACUGUUUUUAGAGAGAUGAUGAGGACUAACUUUUCAAUGUCAACCCCUUUACUUAAUAUAUAUGAGCAUUGAAUGUCCUAUACUCUAGCAUCACAAUUUAAAUUCAACUUUAUAAUAAGGCACCAAGCAGCCUUAAUCAAAAUGAGGCCACGAAGCAACCAAAGACGCCCGAAAUAUCUCCUUUUCCCGCUCUUUGGAAUGUGGGCUACAUUAGAGAGGCCGCUAUGUAGCCCAACUGCCAAAGAAGAUCCAUUCUUAAGUAAAGAAACCAAACUCUUAAAGCAAACCACAAGUUCAACAAUAAAAAAAUUGUUAUAGCAUUUGAAAGUAUUUUCACGGCUUUGCAGUUUGAGUUCAGUGUUUAAAUCUUGAGGGCUUUCGUGAUGGCCACAACAGAGGGCAUCCUCUAUAGAUAUUAGGCACAUGUACCAUAACUUUGGGAGAGUAUUGUUUGAACAGAUCCUGUUGUGCUCCUUACCUGUCCUCCUUGACAUGCCCGCCAUGCUCUUCUUCUUCCUCCACGACGUGAUGUCGUUUUUAAGGGCCAGGAAUUCACAGAUGAGCUGCAACGUAUACAACACAUCUAUGAACGCAUGCACACAGACAGACGGGUUGUGUGGUGCCGUGUGGUCUCACAUGCAGAGCUGUGACCAAGGCGGUCAGGAUCAGCAGGUAGAGGUUGGAGCCCCGCAGUGUCUCCUUGAUCUCAUCGAUGUUCUCCUCUGUGAAACCUG